UAUAAAAUACUUUCGCUAGUCUUCACCCGCACUAAAGGGAAAACAGCAGUGUGACACAUCAGUGUCUGAACUUGAAAAGCUUAUUGAGACUUGCUGCUCAAAAGUUCAGUGGCAACAUGACAAAGAGGAAGCUGCAGUCUGUUUGGUCAUUCAGGCUGUUUUCAUCCAUGAUUGAGAUAAGUGAGAAUGUGUGCGCCUGUGGCACUCUCUCCAAGUGAACAGAAAUACGUUCAUCCAGAGCAACUGUGAUAAUUUGAUAAAAAAAAAAAGAUACAAGGAUAGCAUGGAUUUCAUCUUUGGCUUGCCCUAAAACCCAGAAGAGUUGCACCAGGCCAUUUCUACAGCACACAGAAAUGCCCAAGCCUCAUGUCUAACACGGAUUUCCAAAAGUGAACUGUGUGGCUUUAUUAGGUAAUAUGCAAUAUUGCAUAUUACCUUACACCUAACAGCAAAAAUAUUUUUAACUACAUCAGAAGCAGGAAAACUGCCAAAUAAUCAGUGAGGCCACUGGAUGAUGACGGUUCUAAAGGAGCAAUCAAGGAAGAUAAGGCCAUUGUGGAGAGCUAAAUGAAUUCUUUACAUCAGGCUUCACUGCCAAGGAUGUGAGGGAGAUUCCCACACCUGAGCCAUUCUUUUUAGGGGACAAAUCUGAGGAACCAUCCCAGACUGAGGCGUCAGUAAUGGUGGUUUUGGAACAAAGUGAUACAUUAAAUAAUUAUAAGUCACCAGGACCAGAUGAUAUUCACCAAGAGAUCUGAAGGAACUCUCAUAUGAAAUUGCAGAACUGUAGUUUGUAAACUCUCUUAAAUCAGCCUCAGUACCAGAUGACAGGAGGACAGCUAAUGUAAUGCCAAUUUUAAAAAAAGGCUCCAGAGGCAAUCCCAGCAAUUACAGUAGGUAAGCUUAACUUCAGUACCAGAUAAACUGGUUUAAAACUAUAGUAGAGAACAGAAUUUCAGAGACAUAGCUGAACACAAAUUUGUUGGGGAAGAGUCACUACAGCUUUUGUAAAGGGAAAUCUAAUAGCUUGGAGAGGCGUGAAUUCUUGGAGGGUGUCCACAAGUAUGUGGACACGGGUGAUCCAGUUGAUCUAGUGUACCUGGACUUUCAGAAAGCCUUUGACAAGAUCCCUCACCAAAGGCUCUUAAGCAAAGCAAGCAGUCAUGGGACAAGAUGAAAGGUCCUCUUAUGGAUCAGUAACUGGUUAAAAAAGAUAGGAAACAAAGGAUGGGAAUAAAAUGGUCAAUUUUCACAAUGGAGAGCGAUAAAUAGUGGAGUACCCCAAGGAUCUGUGCUGGAACCACUGUUGUUCAACAUUCAUAAAAUGAUCUGGAAAAGGGGGCAAAUGGCAGGGUGGCAAAGUUUGCAGAGGCUACAGAAUCACUCAAAAAUAGGUAAGUCCAAAGCGGACUGCAAAGAGUUAGAGAGAUCUCAGAAAACUGUGUGACUGGGCAUUAAAAUGGCAGAUGAAAUUCAA